rnacentral:misc_RNA from 1 species
GUUUGAAAGUAUGCAAUCCAUGGAGAAUUACAGCAGUGAGCUAAGUGAAGAGAAAUCUGAAGAGAAGAAGAUCAGAUCACUUGUUGAUGACACUGCUGAAUCUGAAGAAAUUGUAGCUAUGUUUUCCCAUCCUUCACCAUCAUCAGUGCUUGAUCUGUGUACUGGAAGUUUAUGCAGCAAUGGACUAAAGAAUGCAACUGAAGAAUUCAAUGUUGAUCAAACUAUGAAACAUACAAUAACAGAAAAAUGUAUGGUUGUGCUAGAUGGAGUUGAAG